ACAAAUGCGCAUCAUGACUUCAACAAAGAAGACAACUUGGAACGUACCCGAUCCUCCCAUGCCAUCAUUCUCUUUCCCGCUUCAAAUAAAGACCCUUCACACUUACCACCCUUCUCUUCAGACCACUCAGUCCUACGGCUGACACCUUUAGCCUCUAUCUCUCUUUCUUUCUAUCCAUCCUCUUGAUACAGAUCUCUUGAUCUAUCCUCUGGCUCCAUUUUAAUGGUAUGAUGAAUCAGACCUCAAUGGCAGCAAUCCAAAGGUUGUAUGAGGCAAUUGUGAAAGGUAUUUGGACAGAAAUAUGUAUGUUUGUCUACCUUAAGACCCUAUCCCUCAACCACCACAUCCG